rnacentral:rRNA from 1 species
AACGUAGGACGCAAGCGUUGUCCGGAAUUAUUGGGCGUAAAGGGCUCGUAGGCGGUUUGUCGCGUCGGGAGUGAAAACCAGGUGCUUAACACCUGGCUUGCUUUCGAUACGGGCAGACUAGAGGUAUUCAGGGGAGAACGGAAUUCCUGGUGUAGCGGUGAAAUGCGCAGAUAUCAGGAGGAACACCGGUGGCGAAGGCGGUUCUCUGGGAAUGACCUGACGCUGAGGAGCGAAAGUGUGGGGAGCGAACAGG